GACGAACGCUGGCGGCGUGCCUAAUACAUGCAAGUAGAACGCUGAAGGAGGAGCUUGCUCUUCUGGAUGAGUUGCGAACGGGUGAGUAACGCGUAGGUAACCUGCCUGGUAGCGGGGGAUAACUAUUGGAAACGAUAGCUAAUACCGCAUAAGAGUAGAUGUUGCAUGACAUUUGCUUAAAAGGUGCAAUUGCAUCACUACCAGAUGGACCUGCGUUGUAUUAGCUAGUUGGUGGGGUAACGGCUCACCAAGGCGACGAUACAUAGCCGACCUGAGAGGGUGAUCGGCCACACUGGGACUGAGACACGGCCCAGACUCCUACGGGAGGCAGCAGGAGGGAAUCUUCGGCAAUAGACGGAAGGCUGACCGAGCAACGCCGCGGGAGUGAAGAAGGGUGUCGGAUCGUAAAGAUCGGUUGUAAGAGAAGAACGAGUGUGGGAGUGGAAAGUUCACACUGUGACGGUAGCUUACCAGAAAGGGACGGCUAACUACGUG
rnacentral:rRNA from 1 species